UACAGAGGGUGCAAGCGUUGUUCGGAAUUACUGGGCGUAAAGAGCUCGUAGGUGGUUUGUCGCGUUGUUCGUGAAAACUCACAGCUCAACUGUGGGCGUGCGGGCGAUACGGGCAGACUGGAGUACUGCAGGGGAGACUGGAAUUCCUGGUGUAGCGGUGGAAUGCGCAGAUAUCAGGAGGAACACCGGUGGCGAAGGCGGGUCUCUGGGCAGUAACUGACGCUGAGGAGCGAAAGCGUGGGGAGCGAACAGG
rnacentral:rRNA from 1 species